GUAAUGGUGUCUUUAGACACCACCUUUUGCCUUCAUAAUUUUUUAU
rfam:Picea glauca, whole genome shotgun sequence.